AUGCAAGAUGGACACCCCCUUGCUUAUGUCAGAAAAGCCCUUGGGCCUAGAAACCAAACUUUAUCAGUCUAUGAAAAGGAGUACUUGGCAAUCCUCUUGGUAGUUGAGCAUUGGCGCCAGUACUUGCAGCUUUCUGAAUUUAUCAUUAAAACUGACCAGCACAGUCUAGCUUGUUUAUCUGAACAAAGACUGCACACUAGAUGGCAGCAGAAAGCACUGACUAAGCUGCUAGGGUUGCAAUACAUCAUUGUAUAUAAGAAGGGUGUUGAAAAUAGUGCAGCUAAUUCACUGUCCAGAAGGUCAUCUACUGCCAGUGACACAUUGCCAGAGUUCCAUCACAUUUCCUCCGCUCAGCCUGCUUGGCUUGAUGAUAUAAUUCAGAGUUACACUAAUGACCCCUUGCUUCGGAAUUGCUGCAACGUCUAUCAGUGUCCCCUGUUUCUGAUGAUAAGUUUUCUCUCAAAACUGGUGUACUGCAGCAAGGGAAAUGUGUUUGGAUUGGAUAUUGAUCCCGAAACAUCAAUAUCCCGGUACUGUGCACUGUGA
rnacentral:rRNA from 1 species